rnacentral:rRNA from 1 species
AGCGAACGCUGGCGGCAGGCUUAACACAUGCAAGUCGAACGCCCCGCAAGGGGAGUGGCAGACGGGUGAGUAACACGUGGGAACGUACCCUUUGGUUCGGAAUAACUUGGGGAAACUCAAGCUAAUACCGGAUAAGCCCUUAUGGGGAAGGGUUUACUGCCGAAGGAUCGGCCCGCGUCUGAUUAGCUGGUUGGUGGGGUAAUGGCUCACCAAGGCGACGAUCAGUAGCUGGUCUGAGAGGAUGAUCAGCCACGCUGGGACUGAGACACGGCCCAGACUCCUACGGGAGGCAGCAGUGGGGAAUAUUGGACAAUGGGGGCAACCCUGAUCCAGCCAUGCGGCGUGAGUGAUGAAGGCCUUAGGGUUGUAAAGCUCUUUUACCCGGGACGAUAAUGACUGUACCGGGAGAAUAAGCCCCGGCUAACUUCGUGCCAGCAGCCGCGGUAA